AAUAGAUACCCGGGUAGUCCACGCCGUAAACGAUGGAUGCUAGCUAUUGGGGGGAAUCGACCCCCUCCGAAGCGAAGCUAACGCGUUAAGCAUCCCGCCUGAGUAGUACGAGCGCAAGCUUAAAACUCAAAGGAAUUGACGGGGGACCCGCACAAGCGGUGGAGCGUGUGGUUUAAUUCGAUGGUAAACGAAGAACCUUACCAAGGUUUGACAUCCCGGUAGCCGUUCUCCGAAAGGAGAAUUUCAUUUAGUUGGACCGGUGACAGGUGAUGCAUGGCCGUCGUCAGCUCGUGUCGUGAGAUGUUGGGUUAAGUCCCGCAACGAGCGCAACCCUUAUGAUUUAGUUGGAUUUUUCUAAACAGACUGCCCUGGUAACAGGGAGGAAGGAGGGGAUGAUGUCAGGUCAGUAUUUCCCUUACACCUUGGGGCGACACACGCGCUACAAUGGCCGGUACAAUGGGCAGCUAAGCCGCGAGGUGGAGCAAAUCCCAUCAAAGCCGGUCCCAGUUCGGAUUGCAGGCUGAAACCCGCCUGCAUGAAGCCGGAAUCGCUAGUAACC
rnacentral:rRNA from 1 species